CAGCCGCCGCGGUAAUACGAAGGGUGCAAGCGUUAAUCGGAAUUACUGGGCGUAAAGCGUGCGUAGGCGGUUUGUUAAGUCUGUUGUGAAAUCCCCGGGCUCAGCCUGGGAAUGGCAAUGGAUACUGGCAAGCUAGAGUGUGUCAGAGGAUGGUGGAAUUCCCGGUGUAGCGGUGAAAUGCGUAGAGAUCGGGAGGAACAUCAGUGGCAAAGGCGGCCAUCUGGGACAACACUGACGCUGAGGCACGAAAGCGUGGGGAGCAAACAGGAUUAGAUACCCGCGUAGUCCCUGUCUCUUAUAC
rnacentral:rRNA from 1 species